rnacentral:rRNA from 1 species
AUAGAUUAAGUUAUUAAGGGCGCACGGUGGAUGCCUUGGCACUAGAAGCCGAUGAAGGACGUUACUAACGACGAUAUGCUUUGGGUAGCUGUAAGUAAGCGUUGAUCCAGAGAUUUCCGAAUGGGGGAACCCAACAUGAGUUAUGUCAUGUUAUCGACAUGUGAAUUCAUAGCAUGUCAGAAGGCAGACCCGGAGAACUGAAACAUCUUAGUACCCGGAGGAAGAGAAAGAAAAAUCGAUUCCCUGAGUAGCG